GGGACAUGGAAGCCGGUAUUUUGGUAAGCUGUGGUGGUAUUUACAUAUCCCGGGGUAGAACUCUCUAAUGUGGGAAGUAGGAGUUCCCAGUUAUCAUGAAGUAUCAACAACAACAGAGACUUCAACGGUGGGAACACACGUUCAACGUAGAGGUUCAUCCCUGGUAACGAGCGAGCUAACAACCUGGCUAAGCAGUUUUCUAAAAAAUGAUGAGGAUGAUGAACCCCACUGUUCAUAAGCCCCAUCCUGAUCGAGAAUCUCGUGUUCAUCCAUGCAGGCCAGGGGAUGCUGGUGUCUUCCACGGUGACAAUGACCUGGCUGUUGGUGAUAGUAUAACUAUUCCGAGCCCUCUGAUGAGCAAUAAAAUGCAGCUUGACGACCUGGUUUAUUUCAUCCAGAGGAAAUCUCAGGAGUGUGUACAACAUGUGGAUGAACCUGAGCAAAGGAGGCCUAUUUCUUCUGGCAGAUAAUGGAGUUGCUCUGCAUCAGAAAUGGUGUAAGUGUUGUAGUUCAUUACGUGCUGAUUGUUUAAGCCAAAUUAUGAAUGAUAAAUGUAUCAAGAGAUUUUUAUGCAAGAAAGUAAACAUCCUCUGAAUUGUAAGUGCAUGAAUGAAUAAAUAUACAAUAGAUUAAACUUAAAGGCGUUUCUUUUACUGGAUGUAAUGCUGGCUGAAGUCGAUACGCUCCUCUUCAAGGGCUAUGGUUUUCUGAGGGAAGGUAUCAAAAAGUUAGUUUAUUUACACAGCAGCAUUACAACCUUCUGUAUUGUGUAUUGAAAUUGUGUAUUUUUGUGAUGACUGACGUGACAAUUCCUACUACAGCUUGGUACGGUUAAGAACCAGGAUGGUUGGUGUCUUCCUCUGGCACAACUUUUAUGCUCCGCUAAACCACAACAUGAGAACUUAAAUGCUGUGGUUAAAAUGGGAUAAAAGCUUGGUAUGGAUUAGUAACGGUAUUUUUCAGGCAUUCACAUAUUGUAAAUAUAUUCAAUUCAAUUCAAUUCAAUUCAAUUCAAUUUUAUUUGUAUAGCGCUUUUUACAAUAGACAUUGUCUCAAAGCAGCUUUACAGAAAUAUCAACAUGAACUAUGUUUCACAGACCCUGAUCCUCACAUACAUGUUUGGUCUUUCAUCUGUAGACUCUGAAGAACUAACCUAUGCAGCACAUAUCUACUACGUGGUGGCACUGGAGGAGCUACAAACAUGUCAGGGAUCCAGCUUUGAUCUGAUUGGAUGUGACAGGUAUUUUGUGUGUGUGCGUGCACGUGUGUAUUUUUCUCUUUGUACCAGUUUGCCAGUCAGUCAUUCAGCCAUGAGGGAAGCUAUCGAGAGAACUGAGGUAUAGGAAUAUAUACCUAUACCUAUAGGCUCUCUGACAUCAGGGCUCGCCCAGCCUAACUUCCAGACAAGUGCUAUCAUGCCAGCAGGCUAGCCAGGUCUGGACUUGUUGAUCAAGCCCUUGAUUACUGUGAGGCCGUCGCUAGAACAAUUGCCACCUUUACUCGCAAAAUCACAAAGACCACAAUGGAACGGACUAUUGCGGUGAAUACAGUCAUCGUAAUUUGCGCUUAGCUCCCGGUCUGUCUGGAGGUUACCGUGAUCUGAUAUGGUGGUGUCUGGAACAAGACCCUCGCUCUCGGCCAAACUUCGAGGAAAUCCUCAGCCGCAAGUGGUUUACGGGACUUCAGAGCAAAGUCAAGGUUAUGCAGCAAGAAGAGAAUAGACCUAAUGUUAAUGAGCAUAGAAUAGUCUAGAUUGCAUGGAUUGUACUGGAUCGGGAUUGAGUUCUGUAACAAGGAUUGCUCUGCAUUUGUAAUUAGGGGGCCAAACAACAAAAUGCAUAGGCACCCUAUAGUGAUUGUAUGUUUUCUCAUUAUUUAUUUGGGGGCCAAGCACCAAAUGUGUGUAGGCAUCCUUUAGUGAUUGUAUGUUUUCUUAUUAGGGGGGCAGGCACUAUAACGUCACUUGGGAUAUAGAAGGUCCUGCCACUCCACCAUCAACAAACCUGAGAAAAGGCAUCAAAACUUCCCAGUUUACCAAAACACCAUGAAGUUCUGGGUCAAUGACGACAUGCAUAUUUUUGUGUCCGAGUAUAUCAUUUCCAUUUAAAAUAAUUUUAUAAAUUCAUGACAUGUAUCACUUUAUUCUAUAAAACCUCUUUAGUUUGAAUGCAUUUUCAAUACAUUUAAAUAAUAUAUAUUAUUUUAUGUUUUGGUAUCUCAAACCCCCAAAAUGUCAUUCGGUGCAACCGUCCGCACAAAUGAACAGCCUAAGAAAACUAUUAAAAAGGUGUUUAAUGAUUAAUACAUUCUAAAUAAAAUACUGUGCCAUGAUUUUAUGUUUGAACUCUUUCAAAUAAACUAAUUUCACAAACAA